rnacentral:rRNA from 1 species
CUUUUCGGAGUAGCGGGUGGAGAGCGGCGGACGGGUGAGUAACACGUAGGUGACCUGCCCUGAGGACGGGGACAACCGGUGGAAACGCCGGCUAAUACCGGGUAAGCUCACGCGGGUUAGAGGCCGGGUGAGAAAACGGCAGCGCAAGCUGACCGCCUCAGGAGGGGCCUGCGGCCCAUCAGCUAGUUGGCAGGGUAACGGCCUACCAAGGCGAAGACGGGUAGGGGGCCUGAGAGGGUGACCCCCCACACGGGCACUGAGACACGGGCCCGACUCCUACGGGAGGCAGCAGUAAGGAAUAUUGCCCAAUGGGCGCAAGCCUGAGGCAGCAACGCCGCGUGCCCGACGAAGGCCUUCGGGUUGUAAAGGGCUUUUCUGGCUGAAGAGUGAGGACAGUAGGCCAGGAAGAAGAGUCGGCUAACUACGUGCCAGCAGCCGCGGUAAAACGUAGGACUCAAGCGUUAUCCGGAUUUACUGGGCGUAAAGGGCGGGCAGGCGGGCCGGCAAGUCUGACGUGAAAGCUCCUGGCUUAACCGGGAGAGGCCGUUGGAAACUGCCGGGCUGGAGGGCAGUAGAGGGGCGUGGAAUUCCGGGUGGAGUGGUGAAAUGCGUAAAGAUCCGGAGGAACACCAGAGGCGAAGGCGGCGCCCUGGGCUGACCCUGACGCUGAGCCGCGAAAGCCAGGGUAGCGAACGGGAUUAGAAACCCCGG